UACGAAGGGGUGCAAACGUUUGCUCGGAAUUUAUUGGGCGUAAAGCGCACGUAGGCGGCUUUGUAAGUUAGAGGUGAAAGCCCGGGGCUCAACUCCGGAACUGCCUUUAAGACUGCAUCGCUUUGAAUCCAGGAGAGGUGAGUGGAAUUCCGAGUGUAGAGGUGAAAAUUCGUAGAUAUUCGGAAGAACACCAGUGGCGAGGCGGCCCUCUGGCUCGACCCUGACGCUGAGAGGCGAAAAGCGUGGGGAGCGAACGGG
rnacentral:rRNA from 1 species